AGAGAAUUUGGCAGAAAACGGCUUAUUUUUGUUGAAAUUUUAGCAUAAUUCAGUUUAUUCCAUCUCGCAACCCUGUCCUCACGGAUAGCGGAGGUAAACACGGUUAUUUAAAAGUACUAUCAAAUCUGGAAUGUUUGUUGCCAUUAGUUGAACAUAAAGUCAGGUUAAGAAAACCAAAAGAACAGUGGAGGAGAGACCGAAAAUAGGGAAUUAAUAAAAAUCUGACAAAAGGGGCAACUUCGGGACAAGUACAGAAGUUAAUUAUUGAGACCUUGCCUGUUAUAAGAUGAAAUGUCGCAAUUAGUUACCAUCAUCUUUCACCUGGCAAUCUUAUGUUUAUGACACGAUUGACAUUAAAACGAAGUAAUAAACGACUCAACAAUUUAAGAUGAAGCAAGCAGAGCCUUUCCAAACGACGUAGAAGAGAAUAAACAAAGGGUCAGACAGAGAUAUUCUCUUUUCUCUCGUUACGUUGUUCACACAAAGAUAUUCUCUUUUCUCUCGUUACGUAGGUCACACAGAGAUCUUUUCUUUUCUCUCGUUACGUAGGUCUCACAGAGAUAUUUUUUUUUCUUGUUUUAAUUCUUAUCAACUCGUGUAUAAUAUCCGUACGCACUGACCAAGCUUGAUGUAGUCUAUUAUUAUGAGAUAACCAGCAUUCAAACAGAAAAAUAUACAAACAAGUUGAAAAGUUCACGCAAAUUUUUCUGGAUAUUUGUCGUGUUUUUUAAAAGCUAACAUAGAUUCAUGUAAGAAAAUUAUCGUACUUUUUAGUAGUAUGUAUAAUUAUUAUUUUGAAUUAUUGAUGUAAAGUUUAUGGCAUGCGGUCUGUUACGAUGGAAAUAGGAGAGUUUUGUUAGUUUAAACUAUUUAGCUAGUUAAGUGAUUUUCUGGUUUGACUUAGGUCAUUCAAUCUGUUUGUUCAAGUGUUUAUCAUCUUUAUUUUGCUGAUUCUCCUCAUCUUUAUAUAAGGUUGAAUAUAACUCUGCCUUGGUUAA